CUAUCUGACAUUCUGGAAAAGGCAAAACUAUGAUGACAGUAUAAAGAUUAAGGGUUUUGGGGUUGGGAGGCAGGGGGUUGUGCUCCAUGAAUAGGUGGAACAUGGGAUUUUUAGGGUGGUGAAAUUAUUCUGUAUGAUACUGUAAUGGUGGGUACAGUAUCAUAUACCACUGAUACCAUAUAUCCUUAUACCUUUGUCAAAACCCAUAGAAUGUACAACAGGAUGAACUCAACUGUAAACCUUGGACGUCAGUUAAUAACAAUAUAUCAAUAUUGGUUAAUAACAAGGGACACGGUGCUUGGGGGAGGGGCAAGGCAGCAAAUGUGGGAACUCUCUGUACUUUCCCAUCAACUUUUCUGUAAACCUAAAACUGCUCUAAAAAAAUUAAAGUCUGUUAAUUAAAAAAACAAAACUGUACUGUCAGCUGUUUGAGAUUUUUCCCUCCAGAUGACUUUCCAGAUACUGGCUGGGGCCCAGUGGAAUUCAUCAGAGAAGAUGCCAUCAAGAUGACUCCCAGCCAGGCUUUGAAAGACCAGCAGGGACUGGUUUGUGAGUCAAGAACUGGGAGGACGCGGUGUUUCAGAUGGAGGUGACGGGCAAGGUUUAGAGGUAGAACCCACUGGGAAGAGUCGUCAGCAGAGCACUGCACUUGACAGAGGUCACAAGUUGACAAGUAACUGGAGGAAUAAUGUAACUCCUGCUCUCAGAGCAGUUACUCUGAAAAGGGGUCAAUAAACACUGAAAAUUCAAGAAACCUUGAUCCCUGUGAUUCUCAAAAGCCACAUAGGAUGAUGCCUCCCUAAGAAGGUGUUUGUCAACUUCUCCCUGCACACCAGAGAAACACUCAAUGGACUCGGCUCCGGUGCACUUUUUUUUUUUUUUUAAUUCCAAAGUGUGCAUCAACCAAAAGAAAAGAAAAUGAAAAUGAUGCCAUUCAGUAAACGUCUAGCAAUGAGGUAAAACCUCCAGAAAGCAGCAGAGCUGGGCAAACCCGUAAGUUUUGUGCUGGAUAAGCUUCUCGAAGCCUAUAGUGUGCCUUCUCUUCAAUGACUGGAUCCUAAACCUCCUCAUGAAAGGUGACCAGCAGCUGACACACAAAAGCUACUAAUCUCAAAAUCCCAACCCGGUAGCCUGAUAAAAAGCAAUAAAUCAGCCAAUUUUCAGCAAGAGAAGCACCGAACA